rnacentral:rRNA from 1 species
UACGGGGGGGGCAAGCGUUGUUCGGAAUUACUGGGCGUAAAGGGCUCGUAGGUGGCCAACUAAGUCAGACGUGAAAUCCCUCGGCUUAACCGGGGAACUGCGUCCGAUACUGGAUGGCUUGAGUUCGGGAGAGGGAUGCGGAAUUCCAGGUGUAGCGGUGAAAUGCGCAGAUAUCAGGAGGAACACCGAUGGCGAAGGCAGGUCUCUGGGCAUUAACUGACGCUGAGGAGCGAAAGCGUGGGUAGCAAACAGG